AGUGGGGGAUAACGUAGCGAAAGUUACGCUAAUACCGCAUAUUCUGUGAGCAGGAAAGAGGGGGAUCGCAAGACCUCUCGCUUUCGGAGCGGCCGAUGUCGGAUUAGCUAGUUGGCGGGGUAAAGGCCCACCAAGGCGACGAUCCGUAGCGGGUCUGAGAGGAUGAUCCGCCACACUGGGACUGAGACACGGCCCAGACUCCUACGGGAGGCAGCAGUGGGGAAUUUUGGACAAUGGGGGCAACCCUGAUCCAGCCAUGCCGCGUGAGUGAAGAAGGCCUUCGGGUUGUAAAGCUCUUUCGGCUGGGAAGAAAUCGCAUCUCCUAAUACGGGGUGUGGAUGACGGUACCAGCAUAAGAAGCACCGGCUAACUACGUGCCAGCAGCCGCGGUAAUACGUAGGGUGCGAGCGUUAAUCGGAAUUACUGGGCGUAAAGCGUGCGCAGGCGGUUUCGUAAGACAGACGUGAAAUCCCCGGGCUCAACCUGGGAACUGCGUUUGUGACUGCGAGGCUAGAGUAUGGCAGAGGGGGGUGGAAUUCCA
rnacentral:rRNA from 1 species